GGUUCCUACGGGGGGCAGCAGUGAGGAAUAUUGGUCAAUGGGCUAAGGCCUGAACCAGCCAAGUCGCGUGAGGGAAGACGGUCCUAUGGAUUGUAAACCUCUUUUGUCGGGGAGCAACGAGGCCACGUGUGGCCGAAGUGAGAGUACCCGAAGAAAAAGCAUCGGCUAACUCCGUGCCAGCAGCCGCGGUAAUACGGAGGAUGCGAGCGUUAUCCGGAUUUAUUGGGCUUAAAGGGUGCGCAGGCGGAUUUUUGAGUCAGCGGUCAAAUCGUGGGGCUCAACCCCAUCCAGCCGUUGAAACUGGG
rnacentral:rRNA from 1 species